CUAUACUGCAAGUCGAGCGGAGUCUUGUUGGAAGCUUGCUUCCACUUGGCUUAGCGGCGGACGGGUGAGUAACACGUAGGCAACCUACCCUUCAGACUGGGAUAACUACCGGAAACGGUAGCUAAUACCGGAUAAUUCCUUUUCUCUCAUGAGAAGAGGAUGAAAGGCGGAGCAAUCUGCUACUGAGGGAUGGGCCUGCGGCGCAUUAGCUAGUUGGUGAGGUAACGGCUCACCAAGGCGACGAUGCGUAGCCGACCUGAGAGGGUGAACGGCCACACUGGGACUGAGACACGGCCCAGACUCCUACGGGAGGCAGCAGUAGGGAAUCCUCCGCAAUGGGCGAAAGCCUGACGGAACAACGCCGCGUGAGUGAUGAAGGUUUUCGGAUCGUAAAGCUCUGUUGCCAGGGAAGAACGUCCGGUAGAGUAACUGCUACCGGAGUGACGGUACCUGAGAAGAAAGCCCCGGCUAACUACGUGCCAGCAGCCGCGGUAAUACGUAGGGGGCAAGCGUUGUCCGGAAUUAUUGGGCGUAAAGCGCGCGCAGGCGGCUAUUUAAGUCUGGUGUUUAAACCUUGGGCUCAACCUGAGGUCGCACUGGAAACUGGGUGGCUUGAGUACAGAAGAGGAAAGUGGAAUUCCACGUGUAGCGGUGAAAUGCGUAGAUAUGUGGAGGAACACCAGUGGCGAAGGCGACUUUCUGGGCUGUAACUGACGCUGAGGCGCGAAAGCGUGGGGAGCAAACAGGAUUAGAUACCCUGGUAGUCCACGCCGUAAACGAUGAGUGCUAGGUGUUAGGGGUUUCGAUACCCUUGGUGCCGAAGUUAACACAGUAAGCGCUCCGCCUGGGGAGUACGGUCGCAAGACUGAAACUCA
rnacentral:rRNA from 1 species